GUAGUUGGAUUUCUGUUAAUAAUUUAUAUGAAAUAUUUUGAAAAAUAUUUAUAUAAUAUUAACAUAAUUCAUAUUACUGAUUAAUUUGAGUAUAUGAAAUUUUACUUUGAGAAAAUUAGAGUGCUUAAAGCAGGCAUAUGCCUUGAAUACUCCAGCAUGGAAUAAUAUUAAAGAUUUUUAUCUUUCUUAUUGGUUCUAAGAUAAGAAUAAUGAUUAAUAGGGACAGUUGGGGGCAUUUGUAUUUAACAGUCAGAGGUGAAAUUCUUAGAUUUGUUAAAGACAAACUAAUGCGAAAGCAUUUGCCAAGGAUGUUUUCAUUAAUCAAGAACGAAAGUUAGGGGAUCGAAGACGAUCAGAUACCGUCGUAGUCUUAACCAUAAACUAUGCCAACUAGAGAUUGGAGGUUGUUCCUUACUCCUUCAGCACCUUAA
rnacentral:rRNA from 1 species